UACGGGGGGGGCAAGCGUUGUUCGGAAUUACUGGGCGUAAAGGGCUCGUAGGUGGCCAACUAAGUCAGACGUGAAAUCCCUCGGCUUAACCGGGGAGGGUCGUUGGGGACGGCGGGGCUUGAGGGCGGGAGAGGUCGGUGGAAUUCCCGGUGUAGUGGUGAAAUGCGUAGAGAUCGGGAGGAACACCUGUGGCGAAGGCGGCCGACUGGGCCGACCCUGACGCUGAGGCGCGAAGGCGUGGGGAGCGAACGGG
rnacentral:rRNA from 1 species